rnacentral:tRNA from 1 species
GUGGGCGUGCCGCAGUGGUUAUCGGGCAUGACUAGAAAUCAUGUGGGCUUUGCCCAGGUUUGAAUCCUGCCACUCACU